GUUUUAUAGCAUUUUGCUAUGGUGAGACAGGAAUAGAGUUGUCUGAACAGCACGGGCAGAACAAUCUCGACAAGUUUAUUUUAGUUGGAAAGCACCGGUUUAUCUAUGCUUCCUUGCUGUGCUCAUAUAUUCUUUUAUUCUUUUUUAUUUGUUUCAGUCAUUUGACUGCGGCCAUGCUGGAACACUGCCUGAAGGGUUUUAGUCGAAGAAAACCAACCCAGAACUUAUUCUUUGUAAGCAUAGUACUUAUUCUAUCGAAUUUCUUUUGCCGAACCGCUAAGUUACGGGGACAUAAGCACACUAUCAUCUCUCUUUUAUCUUCUAAUGGUUUCAGUGUGUGUGUGUGUGUGUGUGUGUGUGUGUGUGUGUGUGUGUGUGUGUGUAUUGCUCCGGAUAAUGAGCUAGAAAUGACCUAGAUUCGUCUUUCAUGAAGGUAUAUUCACUUUAAUAAAAUAUUAUUUGAUUUCUGUUAAAAAGUUAAUUUUUAUGUAAUAAAUUAAAUUUUCUGAUAUGUUUAUAGGGGUCUAGUAUGUAAGGAAUGCACGUGUUUAAUAUGAAUAGUAUAUUUCAUAAUUUAAUUGUAUAAAUGGCAUCUCAAAUUAAAGCGUAGUAAAUAGAAAUACAGGGUUAGGCGAAAGUGAAAACAGUUUUAAUAAAUUUGAAACUAUUGCGAUAUAUCAAAGGAUCAACGUGUCUCCUUUAUUGUUUUGAUAGCGCAAUCUUUGUACUUCUGAAUGAUAUCACUUUUGCAAUAUGGCACUCUACAUAUGAUGACAGCAUGGCAUUCAGAUGCGUUAAAACAAUUUGAAUUUUCUUCAGAUGGACUCUUUUGUUCUGAAGGCCCACUGUAUGUGCAGACUCCGGAGAAUACUUGAAAUUCCCUUUGCAUGGGUCAUAUCUUGAAGUUAAAGAAUCAACUCAAACUUUUUGCCUGAAGAGAUUAUGUUACUGUUAUGAGCCUGUCUCAUUAAAUUAUCAAUAAAGUACAUCUGCAGAAACUGUGGCUCGUCGUUAAUGAGGGGCAGAAGGGAACUAAUUUCAUGGUAGAUUUGCCCUUGUACUUCAAAAGUUGGCUUGAAUCUCCCUUCUCGAAUGAUGUUGGCCCGAUUGGAAGUCAUUAAAAAACAAAGUUAUGCUUUCUGAUGUUCAUUUAAUAUGCAUGAGUUUCGCAGUAGCAACAUUAAGAAAUUGUUUUAGCGGAUCUGGGGGAUCAGCAAGAACUGGUAGAUUAGCUUUUCCAUUUUAACAAUCUUGCGUGUAUAUCUGGGAUCUAAACUCUGCUUGUAUUUCUCUUUGAAGUUUAUACCUGACCAAGCACAGUUAUGGGUUUCAUGGUGUUUAUGAGCAGCUUGUCAGCUGUUGAAGGUGGCUUUUACCUUCAUUAGACAUCUCUAGUUGUCAACAGACAGCCUGACUGCUAGCAUCUGUUUACAACGUGUGUCACGUUCACUAUCGGGUUUAAGUUUUCUUUAUGCAACAUCCCUAACAAGUUUAGCAUGCAGUCUUUGUAGACACUCUUCAUACUUUUCAACGGUUCUCUUAGCACACUUGCAUUUCGUAUCAGACAACGUUUUAUGGCAUUAUUGAUGGAAACAAAUUAUUAAAACAAGCAACUGUAGGCAAGUAUCCUUUCCUGUAAUAAAUUGAGGUAAAAACUAUCUCUCUCUCUCACCCUCUUGUAGUUACACUGUUUUCUAUCCUUUAGGGUGUCUUCUAAGCGGUUACCCACCAUUCUUGUCUUUUUGGCAUUGAAGAUAUAUGUUGCUCGUUCCUUAUUUAUUUCGUCUUGGUUCCUCGUUUUAAAUCCCAUUUAGUCACUUCUUAUGUCUAUUCUGUAUUGUUUUAUUUGCUCUCGGCCCUAUACUCUCCACAACUUUCGCGGGCACCACUUGCAUGGGAAGUUCUCAGUCUUAUCAUUAAUGGUGCGAAACUGAGAAUUACCAUGUGGUUGAUAACUGAUGAAGAAUUAGGGACCUUCUGUGUCUGUCUCCCGUUCGAUUGUACACUAAGUAUACGCUAUGUUGUUUGUUUAUUUAACGUAUAUUUUUUUCAUUUUUUUUUCAUUUAUUAUAUAUAGGAGAGCUGAAAUAAUGUGAUCAGGUAGGCCUGGAGGCGGCACUGGCGGUUGAUUAUCUCCCACUACGAAAUUGACAAGAGUACUAAUAUGCACCACAAGUCCAUAUGAAAGGUUCUCUCAUGAUAAUUAUCGCAGUAUUCUCUGUUCUAACACAGCGUCCACUUUAAGUGGUAAUAAAUAUUACCUUUUGAUAUCAACACUGCUUCUGUCGCUCUCAUUCGUGGUCCCGGUUAUUUGCGGAACUAAUAACUGAUCGCGGAGACCACUGCAUAUUCGCGGAAUCGUAAAUAUUGUCCGCGAUUUUUUCGUGGCAAUAUAUAUUUUUUCACACUUUUUAAGGCUAAAUUAUUAAUGACAAUAUACUGUAUUUACCGGCUUGCUGGACGUCCCUUCGAAGUUGAAGCUCCCUCUGAUUAGAAUAGCUGCGCAUCACGUCGCUUGAUUGUUUAGAGUGCACUGUAUCUUGUGUCUCUUAUUCCUGCUCUCAAUGAAAGCUUUCUAAUUAGUAUAGCGACAUCUAUUUAUAUUUCACACAUACACACUCUCUCUCCCUCUCUCGCUGUAUUUGUCUCUCAACAAUAACAACCUCUUCUUGUAGUGAAAGUAUAUAUAUAUAUAUAUAUAUAUAUAUAUAUAUAUAUAUAUAUAUAUACAUACAGUCUGUCGCACCAGUAUUACUUGGGCUAGCGUUAACAGAUCAAAGAUAUAUACAACACGAGACUGAACGUUAAUUUUACACCAGCGCUUGUUUUAAAAUUAUCGCUACAUUUGUUCAUACACAUUUCACAUUUCAACAGGAUAAUCUUAAAGGUAGCGAGCCAAUAUAGCCUCAUUGAAAUUAGGCUACUUGCUGGUCCCCACUCUCUUUCUCAAUUAUUAUUACAGUAUAGAUUACUGUAUCUUAGUGGUAAUACAAACUAAACUUUUCAAAGCCAUGAUUGUUUUUAACCUCUGCUCAAUCUCCCAUUGGUGGUAUGCGCAUAUUAGACGAAAGGAACAUUUUGUAGUUUUGUUGAGUGCUGUGUUUUUCGAAGCGUGUUUUUUAAACCUUAAGAUGCCACCCAAAUGCCCUACACCUUCUUAGGCUUCUGGCAGUGAGCCUAAGCGCCCAAAAAUUGUUAUGACGCUCCAUGAGAAGGUACAACUGCUGGAUAUAUUACGAGAAGGCAAAAGUUAUGCUGCAGUAGGUCGCUAAUAUGCUCUCAACGAAGGCACCAUACGCUACAUAAAAAGAACGAGGUCGCAGUCAGGACUACCGUAGCAGUAAGUUUCUGUGAAAAUGCUAAAAAGAUAGCGAUUGUGAGAACUAAGCACUUCGUCAGGAUGGAAUCUGCCUUGGCAUUGUGGCUCAGUGACUGCAAGAAGAAAAGCAUCCCCUUGAACGGUAACAUCAUUCGCGAUCAAGCGCUGAAGUUAUACCAGCAAUUCGAUAGAGGAGACGGAGCCAAAGGCACCGAAGAAACACAAUCAAAGACCAUCGACAGCAGCGAAGCCCGAAGAUUUCCAAGCCAGCAAGGAAUGGUUUGUUGGUUUCCAGAAAUGAUUUAAAAUAAAGUGUGUUUCCCUGCAUGGAGAGACAGAAUCAGCCGACCAAGAAGCUGCCGAGAAGUACCUCGAGACCUCCAGGCAGAUCAUCGAUGAUAAGGGAUACAAACUGGAACAGUUUUUUAGUAUGGACGAGACUGGAUUGUUCUGGAAGAACAUGCCUUUGAGAACGUAUAUCAUGAAGGAUGAAGCCAAAGCCCAGGAUUUAAGGUAAAGAAGAACAGAUUAACGCUAUUUAUGUGUGGCAAUGCUGCUGGCUUCAUGAUGAAGCCAAGAUUUAUCUACAAGUCCACGAACCCAAGGGACUUAAAAAUAAAGAAUAAAAACCUGCUGCCUGUCCACUGGAUGCACAUCCCCAAGGCCUGGAUUAGUCUAACUUUGCAUUGGAUCCACCAAUGCUUCAUCCCUCAAGCCAAGGAAUACCUCCAAAACGUAUGCAUGGAAUUCAAGGUGUUGCUUGUUAUGAUAAUAAGAUUCAACCAAAUCAAAAACUAAACCCAAAUGCUGAGCGAACGAAGACGAACCAUCCCACUUCCAUUGCGUGCACGCAAACACACAUACACAUUCACAUACCCCCACUUUUACAUACACAAACAUAUAUUCACACAGAGUUGACACGCUGUUUGAUUAAUUUUUUUCAGCCUACAAUUUUCAUCAUCCCACUACCAAGUAUGACAUCACCCCUUCCUUCCUUAUUCAUCUAUCACCCCUUCCUUUCUUAUUCAUAAACACAAGAGUUUAUUAUAGUAGAUUGUCUCGGUAACCAUGGGAGCUAUGAAAAAAUACAAAACCCAGCAACACCACCGAAUCAUUCUACACAUGUGGGUACUUUUUCGCACAAUUCCACCCAGCUGUUUGAUCGUGAAUCCCAAGACAAGAAAGAGUCGCCCAUGUGAAAUUUAUAUAUGUAUGUAUGUGUAUAUAUAUAUAUAUAUAUAUAUAUAUAUAUAUAUAUAUAUAUAUAUAUAUAUAUAUAUAUAUAUAUAUAUAUAUAUAUAUAUAUAUAUAUAUAUAUAUAUAUAUAUAUAUAUAUAUAUAUAUAUAUAUAUAUAUAUAUAUAUACAUGCAUAUAGAUACAUACAUACAUACAUACAUACAUACAUGCAUGCAUACAUGCAUGCAUACAUACAUACAUACAUACAUACAUACAUACAUACGCAUUUUGCCCGGUGUUUUAACGAUUCUGCCUGCCCAACGCUUUUCCAUGAAGCAAUAUUAAAAUCACCCCUAUAAUCUUCUAUAUUUUAUAUUCUGGAUUUAGCAACCUAGAAUUAGUAGAUGCAUCUUCCCUCCAUUUUUUUUUCUCUCUCCCUCCAUUUAUUCCCCUUUCCUUUCUGCUGAAGAGCAUAGGAUCAAAACGUCAAAGACGUCUCCAUUUUUCCCCACCGUCAAACUAAAACACCUUGCCUAUUGUUCCCUCACCUGCCUGUGUAUUUUAUUUUUUCACACUCACACACACACAUGCAUACAUGAGUGUAUGUGCAUGUAAGUGAGAGAGAGAGAGAGAGAGAGUGGAGUUGGGGUGGAGUUGUGUGUGUUUGACCAAAUCGCAGACUUUCAACGAAAUUGUUUGACUGCAUCAUGAUAAACAGAACAACUAAAAAUAUCAAAAACUGUAAAUCUAAUUUCAUGUGUUUUUAAAUAGCUAAAAUGUCUUUUCCACAAUGCAAUUGUCACACUUAUCCACAUAUAAGCACAACUCAGUAUUAGUAUAAAUACUAACUCGGUAUUAGUAUAAAUACCACUGUAAAUAAACUAACGGUGUGUACUAUGAAUGAACAGACAUGUAGACUCGCCGUAAAAUGUUGAUACAUUUUUUAAUCAAAUGCAUUUCUCUCUGUGGUCAGAUAAAAAUAUUUUUCUGUCUAGCCUCUGUUUAUUAAUGCCUCACCAGUGGUUAUUCAAUUUGUGUUUGUAGAAAGAAUAUUAACUGAUAACUACUUAAAAUAUACACAAACUAAGAUAAAAUUACAAGGUGUUUGGGUUAAAUUUGACAGUUUGUACGAAAGGAAAAAACACAAAGGCGGCGAGCUGGCAGAAUCAUUACCACGCAGGGCAAAAUGCUUAGCGAUAUUCCGUCUGCCGCUACGUUCAAAUUCCGCCGAGGUCGACUUUGCCUUUUAUCCUUCCGGGGUCGAUUAAAUAAGUACCAGUUACGCACUGCGGUCGAUGUACUCGACUUGAUCCGUUUGUCUGUCCUUGUUUGUCCUCUCUGAGUUUAGCCCCUUGUGGGUAAUAAAGAAAUAGGUAUUUCGUCUGCUUUUACAUUCUGACUUCAAAUUCCGCUGAGGUCGACUUUGCCUUUCAUCCUUUCGGGGUCGAUAAAUUAAGUACCAGUUACGCACUGGGGUCGAUGUAAUCGACUUAAUCCAUUUGUCUGUCCUUGUUUGUCCCCUAGCCCCUUGUGGGCAAUAAAGAAAUAAGAAGCUUUCUUCCCAACCCCGUGGUUCGGGUUCAGUCCCACUGCGUGGCACCUUAGGCUAGUGUCUUCUACUAUAGCCUCGGGCCGACCAAAGCCUUGUUAGUGUAUUUGGUGGACGGAAACUGAAACAAGCUCGUCGUAUGCAUAUAUAUAAUGUAAGUAUAUAUUUAUCUAAAUCUUGUACGACUCUAUUCUUUCUUUUAUUCUUUCUUUCAUUCUAUCAGCCCUUUCAGGCUUACUUCGUUCAUUCCACUCUUCGUUCUUUCGUUCCCCUCUCUCACAUUUCCUUGCCUUCUCUUCAUUCUCACUUUCCCUCCUCUUUUCACUUUACUGUGUCCCUGUCAUUUUUCUCGCCCUUCCUUAUUUCUUCUGCCCCUCAGCCUCUACCUCUUUCUCUUCUCUCCCCACAUGACCGGUGCUUGGCCAAGCCUGACCUUUCUUUCUAGGUUCGACUACCAUCCGUGUAACAUCUAUAUUCCUCCCUGUGCCUGUGAAAUCUUGUAUUCCUGCCGUAAAGCUUUAUUUCCACACGCACCAGCUUAAUUUAAUUCGUUCUUAGUUGAAAGACAUCUGUUGUUAUGUCCUGUUAUUUGUAUUUGUGUAAUAUUCUCCAUAUUUUUUUCCUGUCCUUCUUUUCGUAUACAUUCGUUGCUUUCUUCCAAGGAAUCUAAUGCUCUUAGCUUAGUUUUUCCUUGGCUGGACAGAUUGGAGCAAUCUCGAGUAUAACCAGCUGGAAUUGCAAAGAUAAUCUGGAACUCGACAGAGGAAAGAAAACUCCGAAAGACCCGUUCUUGUUUUCUUUGUAUCGUCUAUCUGGAUGUUUUGCGUCCUUGUCCCAUUUUGAAUUAUAUAUAUACAUAUAUAUAUAUAUAUAUAUAAAUGUGUACUUACAUAUAAGAGAAAGGGCACGUACGCCGCUAUAUAUAUAUAUAUAUAUAUAUAUAUAUAUAUAUAUAUAUAAAUACAAACUGGGACAAUGAUGGAAUAACGGACGAUGUUACACGAAUAUGAAUACAAAGAUAAUACAAAAAUGCGUUUUUACGUAUUAUUUUUGUAUCCAUAUUCGUGUAACAUCGUCCGUUUUUCCGUCCUUGUUUUGUAUACAUUCGAAGCUUUCUUCCAAGGAAUCCAAUGCGCUUAGCUCAGGUUUUCCUUGGGGUUGGCCAGAUUGGAGCAAUCUCAUGAUUAAUCAGCCGAAAUUGCGAGGAUGAUCCGGUUCUUGACUGAAGAUUGAAGGCUUCGAAUGUCCCGUCCGUGUUUUUUGUAUCGUCUUCUAAAUGUUUUGCGUUCUUGUCCCAGUUUGUAUAUAUAUAUAUAUAUAUAUAUAUAUAUAUAUAUAUAUACACGUGUGUUUGUCACCUCACCAUUGCCUGACAACCGAUGUUGCUCUGUUAAUAUCCGUAACUUAGCGACUCGGUAAAAGAGACCUAUAGAAUAAGUACCAGACUUACAAAGAACAAGUCCUGGGGUCGAUUUCUUCGACUAAAACCCUUCAAGGCGGUACUCCAGCAUGGCCGUAGUAAAAUGACUGAAACAAGUAAAAGAAUAAAAGAACAUAUAUACACACGCGCACGUGCCACGCUCUACUUUUACCACAUUCCAAAAAUGCACAUAUAAAUACAUGCAUAUACGAAAAAUAUAUUCACAUACAUACGCAUGUAGACAAACACACACACACACACUUACGUACGCGCAUGCGCGAUCAUAUACCCACAUACAGACACGCAUGCACUCCGCAGAUUGAUAACAAGCAUUAUUAUCCCUACGUACGCACACACAUACACACAUAGCAGCCACUACAGCACCUACUUAUAUACACACACAUGCACGUGCAAUCAUGCACGUCCCCCCCACCCCUCAACAAUACACACGCAUACACAAGCAUACAUGCACACACUCAAACACAUGCAGAAACAGAAAAUGAAUUUAUACAUCCACACAGCAGCCAUCGUAUUAUAUACCUAGACACACAAUCUACAUUACACACAUACGUGCACGCACGCACGUACGCACACACACACACACACACACACACACACACACACACACACACACACACACACACACAGACAUACACGCGCACAUGUUCGCAUCCUACUCCACACGUACACAUACCACGCAAACCAUACGCAUACAUGCUUACUAUACCCCAUUCAGACACACACACACACACACACACACAUACGCACACAUAUACACACACACGCACUUACACAUACAUAUACAUGCACACGCAUACACACGCACACACGCACGCACAAGCACAAACUAGACACAAUCGAUAAUACUGUCAGAACGAUUGAAGUCUGUGCACCACCGCCUCCCCUUCACUUGUUGCUUUCCUCCUGCCUCCCACCAUUCCCUCUGCCUCAUUUCCUUCCACCCAUCUCACAUGUUCUCCCUUUAUUUUACCCCAUCUUUCUCUUUUCUCUUCAUUGUUCCUCCUUCCUUUCUUCUCCCUUCAUUCCUCCCUUUAAUCCGUCCUCCCUUCAUCCACCUAGUUAAUACCACCCACCCAUCCCUUAUUCGUUGCCAUAGUUACAUUAUAACUCUGCUCUAUUUACCAGAUCGCAUCAAUACAAUCCACUCACUAAUAAUGGGUUUCUUCCCUUAGUUUGUUCAUUGCUUGUUACAGGCUUGUUUAUCCUAUGUUUACUAUCUGUUCAUAUAAUAUAUAUUGUCUGUUCAUCGGCCUCACUGCAUGGCACUUUGGGUAAGUGUCUCCUACUAUCGCCCCGGGCCGACCCAAUUCGUGUGACGGAAACUGAAAGGAGUCUGUUGUUUAUAUAAGUGUGUGUUUGCAUGUUUGUGUGUGUGUGUGUAUGUGUGUGUGUGUAUGUGUGUGUGUGUGUGUGUGUGUGCGUGUUUGUGUGUGUGUGUGUGUGUGUGUGUGUGUGUGUGUGUGUGUGUGUGUAUACACACACACAUACCAGGUGCGGUCCCAAGAAUUUUUCGAAGGGAGUCACAAGGUCAGAAGGGAAUAUAAUUUCAGGAGAAAAGGGCGCAAUAACAUUAUUUAGAAGGGCGUACUUCUUUUCUUGAGGGGGUCACGUGACCCUCAGACCCCCCUCUCUUGGGUCCGUCCCUGCACACACAUACAAAAACACAUGUGCACACACGCAAACACACAUACACACAAAGGGAGGGGGAGAGAGAGAAGGGAGAGAAAGAGAUAAAGAAAAAGAGAGAUACAUGUGUGUGUGUGUGUGUGUGUGUGCGUGCGUGCAUGUAUAUAUCUAUUUGUAUAUCUUCGUGUUUGUUCACCACCACCGCUUAACAGCCGGUGUUCAUUUGUUUACGCCUCCAUAACUUAGCGUUUCACUAAAACGAUAUCAAUAGAAUAAGUACCAAAAUUAAAAAAGAAUACUGGGGUCGAUUUGUUCGACUGAACCUUUCAAAGCGAUGCCCCAGCGUGGCCGCAGUCCAAUAACUAAAACAGGUUAAAUAUAAAAGUAAAAAAGAUUAUCUAUCUGUCGUAUGUUCAUUGCGCAUGUACAUGGCAUACUCAAUGUCUGUGUUCAUGACAUGUUCAACGUCCGUGAUCAUGACGUUCAUUGCCUGUUUAAGGUAUACUUACUGCCAAUUUAUAUGGUGUAUUUACAAGCUGUUUAUAGAACGUUUAGCGUCUGUUUAUAUUAGGUUUACUGUCCGUUUAUGCUAUGUUUAUUGACUAUUCAUGGUAUAUUUACUGUCGCUUUAUCGUACGUUUACUCUCUGUCAAUGGCUUUUAAAAUUUUUUAUUCUUUAUUUUUAUCAUUUCCUGGUUACGAUCUCUCGAGAGCGGCCAAGCUAGGGCACUGCUUCGAGGGUUUUAGUCAAAUAUUGCGAUCUCAGUAUUUGAUACAUUCUACUACUUAUUCUACUUGUUUCUAAUUUAUUAUUUUGAUGUAACUGUCCACUAUUUUUUUAACUCGCAGAGUUGUCAAACACAAACACACAAACACAAUAUUUACAUACAUACAUACAUACAUACAUACAUACAUACAUACAUACAUACAUACAUACAUACAUACAUACAUACAUAUAUACAUGCAUACAUACGUACGUACAUAUAUGCAUACAUACGUACGUACAUAUAUGCAUACAUUGACACGUACAUACAUCCAUACAUAAGCACACACAUAAACAUGUGUGUAUGUGUGUAUAUGUAUAUAUAUACACACACAUAUAUAUAUGCAUACGUACAUAUAUAUAUAUACAUGCAUAUAUAGAUACAUUUGUAUAAAUUUAUGUAUAUAGUUAUAUAUAAGUGCUUUAUACAGGAGUGGCCGUGUUGUAAGUAGCUUGCUUACCAACUACAUGGUUCCGGGUUCAGUCCCACUGUGUGGCACCUAAUAUAACCUCUUUUAAUAUAGCCUCGGGCCGACCAAAGACCUGUGAUUGGACUUGGUAGACGGAAACUGAAAGAAGCCCGUCAUAUAUGUAUUUAUGUGUGUGUUUGCCCCUAUCAACAUCGCUUGACAACCUAAGAUGGUGUGUUUACGUUCCUGUAACUUAGCGGUUCAGCAAAAGUGACCUAUAGAAUAAGUACUAAGCUUACAAACAACAAGUCAUGGGGGCGAUUUGCUCGGCUAAAGGUGGUGCUCCAGCAUGGCCGUAGUUAAAUGACUGAAACAAGUAAAAGAAUACAUGUAUAUGUAUUUAUGUGUAUACCUCUGUGUUUGUGUGCGUGUGUGUGUAUGUCUGUAUGUAUAAAUAUGUGUGUGUGCGUAUAUGUGUGUGUGCGUGUGUUUGUGUGUUUGUGUGUGUGUGUGUGUGUGUGUGUGUGUGUGUGUGUGUGCAUAUUAGGCACUACUGUUGAAAUAAUCUCAUUAGGAAGGUGCCCAGCAAUUCCAGCUCGUCUUCCAAAAUUCAAAAAGUACCACAGGUGUUUCCCCGCGUGAUAACCAUCCAAUAACGUUUACGAUCCCGUUUUAAUUUAAUCACCCGUCGAUGGAACGACCCUUUCAGCUUUAUUGUCAUUUUAGAAAACAUGACACUUGUCAAGACAUCACUGCUUUUGUUCGGCUGUCAAGAAUCGGAUUCACGUUCAAUUUUCCAUAAAAUAACCAGACUAUAUAACUAAUUCUUCUCACGUGAGCAAGCCGAUGGGUUAUUGCGUAACAAUCCUUAUAGAUGAAUUUACGGUUAUUUUCCCGCGUUUUCUAUUGUUUCGCUCCUUAUUGAUCGUCCUGAAUGCUCAUAUUUAACCGCACUCGACUGACAUUACGCAUCCAACUGAAAUUGUGCAUCCAACUGAAAACUCGGAAACUGACUUUAAGACUGUACACCAACAUCUUGAAGUGCAUUUUGGAUCUUUGUAGUAGAAUUGCCGAGUUUUAUGUAAAAUUUGAUGCAGGCGCGUUGCUGGAAUUUGUCAGCAGUAGUAGAAAUCAGAGAGCUGUUCGAAUAUAAAUGAAUAAACUCGCCUAAUAACUGUACACAAAUAAUCAUUAUAGAACCUAUUUGUGACUAAGUAAGCUGGCUGCCAAUAAUCGCCAGCUGUGCAUGGAGUCAAUUCGAAGCUACAGUAUAAGACAUUUGCCCAAGAUGUACAGUGAUCCAUUGACUGUCGGAUUAUAAACCUAAUUCACUGAACUUGUUAUAUCCUGUUAUUUAGAUGCCUGUAGCAGAGAGAAGUCCACUUUCUUGCUAACAUUCUGAUCUCAGGAAUAACGCGCCAUAUUAAAGAGUUAUUUUCGACUGCAACAUCCUGCGUAGUUCCACCUUUCUUAAGAGAGUAUAGAUGGUAAUAAUUCUCCAGCAGAGAUCACCAUGAGAUAGGACAGUCGUAACACAUUUAAAGGCUGCUGUAUUUGCUAGGUCAGCCAGUUGAUAUUUUUAUAAGGAUCGAAGAGUUGAUGACCGACCACUCAUUAAACAUGGUUUACUCCCCCCUUUCUUCCUACAGGCUUACUAAUUCUUCAAAGCUCAUUGGUAUCACCCUUUCUCAAUUCAAUAGACAUUUUUUUUGUUGUUUUAAUUUUGUGGCACACUGGAGAUCAAAAGAAAAGAAAAAAUGUGGACUUCAUGUUUUUCAAGAUGAUCAAGAAUUAGUGUGGAUAUUUUGAAGUCUUAAAAAGCAUUUUUAUGAAUUUGUUACGCACACAGAUACCUUUUUGUAUGCAGAGACUUUGUAACUACCCACACUUAUACGCGAGCCUAAUGUUUAGGGUGUUGUGCUCACGAUCAUGUACAAUUGAUUCUUGGAUAGAGCGGCAUAGUGCGUUCCUGUUUGUUCGAUGUUUCGCUGGGUUAAAAGGUAGCGGGGAAUCGAAAGCACACGACUACUUGGGAACCUAAAACAAUUAGCGAAAGCAUAGUAAAUUCUACUCUGUCAUAGUCGCAUACUUGCGAUGGUCACGCUUUUCGAUCUAUCUAUCUAUCUAUCUAUCUAUCUAUCUAUCUAUCUAUCUAUCUAUCUAUCUAUCUAUCUAUCUAUCUGUCUGUGUGUCUGUCUGUCUGUAUGUAUGUAUCUCUCUCUCUCUCUCUCUCUCUCUCUCUCUCUAUAUAUAUAUAUAUAUAUAUAUAUAUAUAUAUAUAUAUAUCAAGUGUAACCGACCGAAAUUGACUGAUGAGAGGAGGCUGCAAAUGACUUGUCCUUGUUUUUUCUGUCCGUCUUUGUAUUGUCUAUCUGUCCGGAUGUCUUAUUGUCAUCUGUUGCGUUAUUAUUCCAUCUUUUGGGAUUUAUAUAUACAUAUAGCGGUGUCCCUACACUUUGGUUCACCUCGUAAGUAGGUAUAUAUAUAUAUAUAUAUAUAUAUAUAUAUAUAUAUAUAUAGGCGCAAGAGUGGCUGCGUGGUAAGUAGCUUGCUUACCAACCACAUGAUUCCGGGUUCAGUCCCACUUCUACUAUAGCCUCAGGCCGACCAAGGCCUUGUGAGCGGAUUUGGUAGACGGGAACUUAAAAGAAGCCCGUCGUAUAUAUGCAUAUGUAUAUAUAUAUAUGUGUCUGCAUGUUUGUGUGUCUGUGUUUGUCCCCCAACAUCGCUUGACAACCGAUGCUGGCGUGUUUACGCCCUCGUAACUUAGCGGUUCGGCAAAAGACACCGAUAGAAUAAGUACUAGGCUUACAAGAAUAAGUCCUGGGGUCGAUUUGCUCGACUAAAGGCGGUGAUCCAGCAUGGCCGCAGUCAAAUGACUGAAACAAGUAAAAGAAUAUAUAUAUGAAGAACACAAAUGGGUUACGGUUCACUACACCUGUUUCAGAAGCGGUUUUUAUUGUUGUCGAAAUAAAGGAGGAUCAACACACAUUCCAUAUCUUGAUGUUCUUUCUGAAUCAAAUUUUAAAUUUUAAUUUUAAGCUUUUAAAUGAAGAAAAUGCUUUUCUUUUUCAUGCUGUAAUCAUCUAAUUAAAAAAAAUGUGUCUGAAACGGCUGUAGUAAACUCGACCCAUUUGAGUUGUUUAUGCAAAGCAGCACACCGAGAACCUCCCCUGCGUUGAAUCUGGAACUCACAGUGGAUCGUGAAGCUGCGUACCUGCCUCCAUGUAUAUAUAAUUUCAUACACAUGUAUAUUUGUAUAGAUGUGAAUAUUGAUUGCUUCGUGUGCAUGUAUAUGUAAGUGUUGAGGCAUGUCCGCAUAUACAUUUACAAAAUAUGCGUGGGUGUUCGUAUACAGUAUAGAACGAAUAUGCUAAUCUCGACCAUCACUUGGUGUCCUUAUUAAAAUACCUUGAGUCAAAUGAAUCCUACAAAUAAUUAAUUAGUUAAUUAUAUACAUACACGCAGACAGAGAGACAGACAGACACACACAUACACACACACACACACAUGAUGUCCGUAUUAAGUUCAUUCACUGAACCAUCAGGAUUAUCUAGUGCAGAUUAAUAAAAUAUAGUAUAUAUUCCUGUGGCUAUUUAUAAAUGCAUGUGCAUACGAACACACACACAUGCAUACGUGUUUCUUUCUGUGUGUGUGAGCGUGCGUGUGUGUGUGUGUCUGUGUGUGCGCGCGUGCGCGUGCGUGUGCGUGUGUGUGUGUGUGCCUGUGUAUGUGUGUGUGUGUGUUUGAUUUUAUCUCUUGGUAGACGUAGAAACAAUUUAUUAAUGUAAGUUCAGAAGGUUCCUACCAUAAUAUUUAAUCUUUUAUUUGCUUCAGUCAUUUGACUGCGGCCUGAACAAAUCGACCAAACCCCUGUGCUUAUGUUUUAAGCUUUGUCCUUAUUUUAUCGGACCGCUAAGUUAUAGGAAUGUAAAUAAACCAGUACCGUUUGCUAAGCGGUAAUGAUACACACAAGCGCGCGAGGGCUUCCGCACAGUUGCCUCCGACCAAAUUCAUUCACAAAGCAUUGCUUGGUUCAGAGGUAUAUAGCACAUGACAUGUGAUCAAGCUGCCACGCAGUGGAAGUGAACUCAGAACCAUGUGGCUGGAUAGGAAACUUCUUACCACACAGCCAUGCCUGCACCUGCGCCUAUGCAUAUAAACAAUCUACCAACCAUCGAACAAGCCACCCAGCCAAUUCCCCGUCCAACCAUCCAACCAGCCAACCAGCCAUCCACCCACGCACCCGCUGACCAACCAGCCAGCCAGCCAGCCAACCAAUCAGUUUGUUAGUUUAACCAAAGAGCUCACCAUAAUAUCCGCUCCAGUUUCUCCAUUUCUCCAACCAACCAAUGAAUCAAUCAAUACGCGUUUAACCAGCUGACCACUGAACCGUUCAACCCAUGAACACCAGUCACACUGGUCAGCAAGCUACACUGUGUGUGUGUUUGCGCGCGCGCGUAUAUGCUUUCAAGUAUGCGUGUGCAUGUGUAUGUAUAUACGUACAUACAUACACGCAUAAUUAUAUAUAUAUAUAUAUAUAUAUAUAUAUAUAUAUAUAUAUAUAUAUAUUAUUUAUUUAUACAUAUAUAAAUAAGGAUAAGACCGUUAUUUAAAAUACCGAUCUUAUCAGGUGGCCAGCAUAUACAUAUAUAUAUAUAUGUGUGUGUGUGUGUGUGUGUGUGUGUGUGUGCGCAUGUAAGUGAUUGGGCGUGUAUGUCCGUGUAUAUAAUAUGUAUGUGGUUAAAGCACACGUGUGUUUGUGUAUAUAGGUAUAUAGGCUUGCCUGUGUAUGACUGUAUAUACUUUUAUGAGCAUGAGCGUGUGUGCAUAUGUGUGUUAGUGCAUGUGCGUGAGCGUUUGUACAUAAGUAUAUAUGUGCGUUUGUGUAUGUAUGUGCACCAGCGAAUGUGUGUAUAUGUGUGUGUGCGUGUGUGUGUGUGUGUGGGGGUGUCUAUGUGUUUGCUGUGUUUCUUCUUUUGAGCAUGCAUGUGUGUUUAUAUGUGCUUUUCUGCAGGUGCAUAUAUGCGUGUGUGUGUAUGAGUGUUUGUGUGUGAGUGUUUGCACGCGAACAUGUGUGCGUGUGAGUGUCAGUUAGUAGAAGUAGCAGCAGCAGCCAGUUGAUUGUAUGUCGGGAGUUGUAUCAACACCUUGAUGUUUGUAUGUGUAGGAGUUCGAUAAAGGAAGGGAUAGUUUCCGGGGGAUAAGAAUGGAGUGUGUAUUGUAAGCAAUUGUGUGUGAGAGAGAGGGAGAGAAAGAUAACAAAAGAAGAAACAGAAUGAGUGGGAGAGAGGCGGGGAGAGAGAGGGAGUGAGAGGGUAGAAGGUGAGUGAAGAUGGAAGGGUGGUGGGACCGAAAGGGAAAGAAAAGAGGAGGAAAAGGCGUACGUGUGUGAGAGAGACAGGAAACUGAAUGGGUCUGAAAAAGCGGUGGGGACUCUGUGGGUGUGGGUGUGUGUGUGAGAGAGAGAGAGAAAUUGUACAAGACUGAGAGUGAGAAAAAGUAAACUACAGAGGGGCUAACCAGAAAUAUAGAGAAGUAAAGAUGGGUAGAUAGAUAGAUAGAUAGAUAGAUAGAUAGAUAGAUAGAUAGAUAGAUAGAUAGAUAGAUAGAUAGAUAGAUAGAUAGAUAGAUGGAUUGAUGGAUGGAUGGAUAGAUAGAUAGAUAGAUAGAUAGAUAGAUAGAUAGAUAGAUAGAUAGAUAGAUGGAUGGAUAGAUAGAUAGACAGUUAGAGAGGGGGAAGAAGGGAGAGGGGGAAGAGAAGGGAGAGGGGGAAGAGAAUGGAGAGAGGGGGAAGAGAAGGGGAAGAGAAGGGAGAGAAGGGAGAGAGGGGAGAGAGGGGAGAGAGAGGACGAUAGCACACUUCAUUGAUAACAAUUUUUGAAGGUGAAGGAGGGAGGAUUGAUAAAAAGAAACAAAGGACAAAAUCAAGAAAGAGAAAGAGAGAGAGAGAGAGAGAGAAAGAGGGGGGGAGACAGAGAGAGCGAGGAAGAGAGAGGAAAGAAGAGAGAUAGAAAGAGAGAGAGAGAGAGAGAGAGAGAGAGAGGAGGGGAUCAUUGUUCACACCUAAAAUAUAUGAUGUGGUGUAAAAUUACUUGGGAUGUUUUAGUGUAGCGGCAGUAAGGAUCAAGAGGAUAUUCUUUUCUUUUCUACUCUAAGCACAAGACCCGAACUUUUGGGGGAGGGGGCAGUCGAAUAGAUUGACCCCAGUACGCAACAGGUAGUCAAUUUAUCGACCCUGAAAGGGUGAAAGGCAAAGUCGACCUCGGCGGAAUUUGAACUCAGAACAUUCAGACGAGGGGAUCAAGACGAUAUUAUGUAAGGGAUUGUUUCCUCUACAUACAUACCUACAUACGUACAUACAUACAUACAUACAUACAUAUAUACAUACAUACAUACAUACAUACAUACAUACAUACAUGCAUGCAUACAUACAUACAUACAUACAUACAUACAUACAUGCAUACAUACAUACAUACAUGCAUACAUACAUACAUACAUACAUAUAUACAUACAUACAUACAUACAUGCAUGCAUACAUACAUACAUGCAUACAUACAUUCAUACAUAUAUACAUACAUGCAUGCAUACAUACAUAUAUGCAUACAUACACACAUGCAUACAUACAUGCAUGCAUGAUGCAUACAUGCAUACAUGCAUACAUACAUGCAUACAUACACACAUGCAUGCAUAUAUACAUACAUACAUACACACAUGCAUGAAUGCAUACAUACAUACAUACACACAUGCAUGCAUACAUACAUGCAUGCAUGCAUACAUACAUACAUACAUACAUACAUACAUACAUACAUACAUACAUACAUACAUACAUAUAUAUACAUAUCUACAGCAUGGCAAACGUAGAGUACCCUUUAAGUGGCCUUUUUAAACAUUUUCUUCAACAACUAUGCUGACACUCAAAGACUAAGUCAGUAAAUAGUAUAUUUCUUAUGUUAUGAAUAAGCGAAAUACCUGUUAGUUACCAACAUGGUGUCAUUCAGGCCGGAUUAAAAAUACCGGUUGAAAUUUCGCUCGUACGAUCAUGAAUGAAAGUGAUAACAAUAUCAUCAUCAUCAUCAUCAUCAUCAUCAUCAUCAACAACAACAACAACAACAACAACAACAACAACACUGAUACCAACACAAGCAUUACUACGACACACUGAAUUAUUUAACAACGUAAGAACACUUCUCGUUUUACACGGACUUUACAUUU
rnacentral:lncRNA from 1 species